AGACCAAACAAUCUGAAAUUGCUCAGGUUAUGUGUGGGGCUGGUGGUUUCCUCCUGAUCCAGUGCACAGAUAAAUGAUUGAGCAGCCCAUGGAGCAGAUUCUGAGAAUGCACCAGUCUGGGUCAUUCUGGAAAGCACGUCUUGCUAGUGGUGAUGGUGUUGGGCUCAUGAUCAAGCUCUGGGUCUAAAUGAGCAGAGCGGGGAUGUGAAAACAUCAUCUAUGUACCUGCUCCAUGAGUCCCACAGUCACUUCUCUGUUGAGUUUACAUUCAUCUCUCUAAGCUUCAGCUCCACCAGGACUUCAGUGCUGAACUGUUCUAGAGACCGAGGAGCCACACAGACAGACAGCAUUACGAGGUUACCAGACCCUGUCUCCUUGUUACUGCAGGGAAAUGACGCUGCGUGGAAUUUUCGGACAGAUAAUGGGUGGAGCAGUAAGACCUGUUACGAUUUGACCUUUUAACUUCAGCAGUAAGUCUCCUUUUCUGUCUGUAUUUUAUAAUAACUGGGCAAGACAGUGCAUAAAGGAUAU
rnacentral:lncRNA from 1 species